UCUCAUUUGGGAUCAGAUUCAAGAACCAUCGAGAGAGAGAGAGAGAGAGAGAGUCAGAGAUCAGCUGAAUUGAGGAUCACUUCGUCGUCUCUGUCUUCUUCCUCUUCCUUCGUCGUCUUCAACGUCGCCGGUGGUGUGUGCGUUGCUGCCGUCCGCCCAGCCUGUGGUAGCUUCUUUCUCCUCUGUUUCUCGUCAUCGAGCUCGCGUCCUUUCUUCUCCAUUCUGUCCUAUCGAAGGUGGUAAGCAUGUUAAACGCUGGGCUGUUGUUGGAGAUCCGACAAAGUUGCUGCUGUUCUGGAGAUCGUGGAAGCUACCGAUCUCUUCUCCUCCUCAUUUACGUGCCAUCGUUCGAGUUCUUUUUCUGUUCAGUACGCUAAUUCUUCUUCCUUAUUGCUCUGUUCAUCCGUUUGAGACCUUGCUUCCUUGCUUUGUCACGUUGAGUGAGGGUGAUUGUGAGACGGGUAGCUCGAUUGGAGUUUUAAGAAGUGAGUUUUGAACUUUGAAAGCACUACAGAUAGCAUAACUGACGCUGUACAUCUUGCUUACUAAUGAUGGUUGUUUGCGGAACAGAAUGGAGGUUGGUUCUAUAAAUAUGUUUUAUUGAUGUAAACAUGAAAUUUAUGUAUUAUGUCAUGAAAUAUAUGAUUAGAUGCUCCACAUAACUUAUAAAUUAGAGUCCUUAGUUUAUUAUAUAUUUUUCUGCUGACUGGAAGGAGCUGAGCUCCUAAUUGAUGCAAUGUUUAAGGAAAUUU